AAAUAACAGAAAGGCCCUCCACAUCGUAGUGGCCGUUGCUUUGAUCCGUUGCUUGGUUGUGUUGUGGUGUGACAUAAAAACGCUCGCAGCGCGGGUCAGUGUGAUAGCUGCCGAGAAUCCGGGGCGCAGCAGCGACGGAUGACACCGUAUCAUUCGCCUCGUUCAAACAUCCUACCAUCGAAACUGACCGAAGAAGACAAAUAUUUCGAUGGAAGCAAGUGGAUACAACAAAAAAAAACGGACAAAUUCUUUGUGGGGCCGGUUGGGGGGCCUUUGAGUGUGCGGCAGAGAGAGAGAGCGUGUAACCUUCAACCACACACUAUUGCGCUCCCAUGGCCUACCUUGCCUUUGAAAAACGAGAUCGGACGUCACCCGAAGAGACGCGGACACAUCGUUUGAUGGGGUGGUGCUGUUGUGGCCCGUUGAACGACGCCGGGGCAGGAGGGAGGACUAGAUCAGCUAUUUUUGGCACCGAAUUUAUGGUAAUGAACUUACUGUCUUCCUCCCCGCGAUCGAUUGGCCUGGGGGCGAAAACACAACAGCGCGGCGGUUUGUUUGCUCCGUAAACGAGCUCGCUCAGUGAUGGUGAUGCUACGUGUAGAACAAGGUUAGCGCAGAUAAGUUGGAACGAACUUGCAGCGAUUUUGUCGCUUUCAAAAGACAUCAAACGGCAAGUGUCUAAUAUCGCUCCAGCAUACCAGUGGUGUUAUGCAAUGCCCAUUUUGCUAUCAAUUUCGCGGACACAGCACACCACCUCGCAGAUUACGAAGCAGUAAAAAUACCAUCUCGUCGGCACAGUAACACAGGUUCGGGGCAUGAUUGUGACAGUCAGUAAGAAACGGGUCCGUCCGUUCACGAUAAGCCGGCUCGCGAACGGGCAAGAACAAUUCAAUCCGGUCUGAUCGACCGUACGUACAUCGUCCGUGCAAGUACAUCGGCCCAUCAUCACGCAACAGCGAAACGGGCAGCGCCCGUUUUCUGCCCCAUUCGCCACCAGGUCCCAAGGGUACCCCCCCUUCCCCCAGGAGGGUAUUUAUCGAUUUAAUAACAAUUCUGUAGCUAAAAAUAAAUUAUGCAUAAACUUCA